rnacentral:rRNA from 1 species
GACGAACGCUGGCGGCGUGCCUAAUACAUGCAAGUAGAACGCUGAAAUAAGAGCUUGCUCUUAUGGAUGAGUUGCGAACGGGUGAGUAACACGUGGGGAACCUACCUUCUAGCGGGGGAUAACACAUAGAAAUGUGUGCUAAUACCGCAUAAUAGUAUUUGAUGCAUAUCAGAUACUUGAAAGGCGCAAUUGCGUCACUAGAAGAUGGCCCCGCGGUGCAUUAGCUAGUUGGUGAGGUAACGGCUCACCAAGGCAAUGAUGCAUAGCCGACCUGAGAGGGUGAUCGGCCACACUGGGACUGAGACACGGCCCAGACUCCUACGGGAGGCAGCAGUAGGGAAUCUUCGGCAAUGGACGCAAGUCUGACCGAGCAACGCCGCGUGAGUGAAGAAGGUUUUCGGAUCGUAAAACUCUGUUGUAAGAGAAGAACGUUGAUGA